AGUGAACGCUGGCGGUAGGCCUAACACAUGCAGGUCGAACGGCAGCACAGUAAGAGCUUGCUCUUACGGGUGGCGAGUGGCGGACGGGUGAGGAAUACAUCGGAAUCUACUUUUUCGUGGGGGAUAACGUAGGGAAACUUACGCUAAUACCGCAUACGACCUACGGGUGAAAGCAGGGGAUCUUCGGACCUUGUGCGAUUGAAUGAGCCGAUGUCGGAUUAGCUAGUUGGCGGGGUAAAGGCCCACCAAGGCGACGAUCCGUAGCUGGUCUGAGAGGAUGAUCAGCCACACUGGAACUGAGACACGGUCCAGACUCCUACGGGAGGCAGCAGUGGGGAAUAUUGGACAAUGGGCGCAAGCCUGAUCCAGCCAUACCGCGUGGGUGAAGAAGGCCUUCGGGUUGUAAAGCCCUUUUGUUGGGAAAGAAAAGCAGCAGGUUAAUACCCCGCUGUUCUGACGGUACCCAAAGAAUAAGCACCGGCUAACUUCGUG
rnacentral:rRNA from 1 species